CUGUAACUACAUCACAUUUGCACCCAUUCAUUGAUUAAUUCAGUUAUCCUUCCAUUUAUUUAUCCCCACCCUUUAUUAUCCUUCAUACCAUACACCCAUCCAUUUAAAAAUUAUUCCAUCUUCUUGUCCAUUGUACCCAUUUAUCCAUCUGUCAGCCAAUCUAGUAAUUGGUUCUGUUGUACAUGAGGUCAUGAACUGCUGUCCCACAAAUGGCACUUUAUCAACCCCCACCUGUAGAGAAGGGAGAUCUUGAGAAGCAAAGAUCCCAAGCCUAAAGGAGUACAUUGUAUUUUGCCUCUUAAAUCCAUAAACCACUUUUAUCCAAACAUCUAACCCACCUCAUCAAGUUGGCUGAGACCAGUGGGAAAUGCAUAUGUCUAAUGGGGAAAGGAGGGGUGUGGACAGGCAGGUAUAAUAAAUGUGUAAAUUUGGCCAAGGGUAAGAGCAUAGGUGAUAAAGGUCCUGGUGUAUCCCAACUUAAAAAGGCAAAAGGAAAUUUAACCCUUGAGAUUAAAUAAAAAAGCUUAGUGUGUUGGCCACCAGGUGGAACCAUGUGUGCCAGCCAUACAAGUCUAGUGUAUGAGACGUGCCGUUGAGGAAGUGUGUGUGUGUUGGGAUAGGGGAUUGUGAGUUCUGCAUGUUUACCUUUUACAUUGUCAUGAGUGCAUUCUUGCCUCUCAGUUAUAAUUUCUCAUAAACAUUAUAUAGCUGUAUAACAAAUAGAAAUAUGCAAAAAUCACAAGUGACACCUCAGUGAAUUAUUACACUGAUGGUACCAUCUCCCAAGUCAAGCAAUAGGCAGUGCCAGUAACCUAGAAGCUCCCUCAUGCCCCCUCCCAGCCGCUGCUCUUCCUUCCUCUCCAAAGUAAGCACUAUUCUGACAUCUAACAGCAUAGAUGAUUUGGGGUGGAUUUUAACUUUCUAUAAAUGGGAUAUACUGUACAUGUUAUUUUAUAUCUGGUAUCUUUUACUUUAUGAGAUUCAUCCAUGUUGUUGCAUGUAAUUCAUAUUUAUACAAUAGAAAACUAUACAUUAAUAAAAAGGACUGUUUUCAUUGCAGCUGCUGGUUAGAAGCUGGGGAGUGUCACUGGAUCUGUACUUC
rnacentral:lncRNA from 10 species